rnacentral:misc_RNA from 1 species
AACUUGUGACAACGGAUCUCUUGGUUCUCGCAUCGAUGAAGAACGCAGCGAAUUGCGAUAUGUAAUGUGAAUCGCAGAAUUCAGUGAAUCAUCGAAUCUUUGAACGCACCUUGCGCCCUUUGGUAUUCCGAAGGGCAUGCCUGUUUGAGUGUCAUUAAAUUCUCAACUUCAACACUUUUUGUAUUGAAGCUUGGAUGUUGGAGGGUUAUGCAGGCAUAUCAGUGUCAGCUCCUCUUAAAUGCAUUAGCAGAACCUGUAUGUUCGGCUCUGGUUUGAUAAUCCUAUCUAUGCCACUGCUGAAAUGUCAAUUGUUCAGCUUCUAAUGGUCCAAUUGGACUGUCUCUUUGGAGGCAUAUUUUUGACUUGACCUCAAAUCAGGUAGGACUACCCGCUGAAUUUAAGCAUAUCAAUAAGCGGAGGCU